GCUUAAGUAGUUUAAUAAAAAUUUAGAUUUGUGGCAUCUAGGAAGUAUUUUGAGUACCUUGAGCA
rnacentral:tRNA from 1 species